rnacentral:sRNA from 1 species
UUGAGGGUUACUCCGGAACAAAGUAUUUCUCCCAUAUUGGCAGCUUCAGUUCAUUCCAUCAGAGUUCAGAGGUCAGUUACCAAAACCUUUUGCAGAAGGACCUCUGGCCACCCGGAUUGUUCCUACUGACAUGAAUGACCAGAAUCUAGAAGAGCCAUCCAGAUAUAUUGAUAUCAGUAAAUGCCAUUAUUUAGUGGAUUUGGACACCAUGAGCGAAACACCCCGGGAGCCAAAAUAUUCAUCCAAUAAAGAAGAAUGGAUCAGCUUGGCCUAUAGACCAUUCCUUGAUGCUUCUAGAUCUUCAAAGCUGCUGCGGGCAUUCUAUGUCCCCUUCCUGUCAGAUCAGUAUACAGUGUAUGUAAACUACACCAUCCUCAAACCCCGGAAAGCAAAGCAAAUCAGGAAGAAAAGUGGAGGUUAGCAACACACCUGUGGCCCCAAAGGACAACCAUCUUGUUAACUAUUGAUUCCAGUGACCUGACUCCCUGCAAGUCAUCGCCUGUAACAUUUGUAAUAAAGGUCUUCUGACAUGAAUACUGGAA